GCCAGGCGUGGUGGUGCGUGCCUGUAAUUCCAGCUACUUGGGAGGCUGAGGCAGGAUAAUUGCUUGAACCCGGGAGGCAGAGGUUGCAGUGAGCCGAGUUCACGCCACUGCACUCCAGCCUGGGUUAUAGAGCAAGACUCUGUCUCAA
rfam:Nomascus leucogenys chromosome 4, whole genome shotgun sequence.